rnacentral:piRNA from 1 species
UAAAUUGAAGCUCUCAUAGCUGAAUUUGUGU